rnacentral:rRNA from 1 species
UAGGGAAUCUUCCACAAUGGACGCAAGUCUGAUGGAGCAACGCCGCGUGAGUGAAGAAGGUUUUCGGACCGUAAAGCUCUGUUGUUGGUGAAGAAGGAUAGAGGUAGCAACUGGCCUUUAUUUGACGGUAAUCAACCAGAAAGUCACGGCUAACUACGUGCCAGCAGCCGCGGUAAUACGUAGGUGGCAAGCGUUGUCCGGAUUUAUUGGGCGUAAAGCGAGCGCAGGCGGAAGAAUAAGUCUGAUGUGAAAGCCCUCGGCUUAACCGAGGAAUUGCAUCGGAAACUGUUU